AUUGUGAGCUCGAUGAGUAGGGCGGGACACGUGGUAUCCUGUCUGAAUAUGGGGGGACCAUCCUCCAAGGCUAAAUACUCCUGACUGACCGAUAGUGAACCAGUACCGUGAGGGAAAGGCGAAAAGAACCCCGGCGAGGGGAGUGAAAAAGAACCUGAAACCGUGUACGUACAAGCAGUGGGAGCCUCUUAAUGGGGUGACUGCGUACCUUUUGUAUAAUGGGUCAGCGACUUAUAUUCUGUAGCAAGGUUAACCGAAUAGGGGAGCCGAAGGGAAACCGAGUCUUAACUGGGCGUUAAGUUGCAGGGUAUAGACCCGAAACCCGGUGAUCUAGCCAUGGGCAGGUUGAAGGUUGGGUAACACUAACUGGAGGACCGAACCGACUAAUGUUGAAAAAUUAGCGGAUGACUUGUGGCUGGGGGUGAAAGGCCAAUCAAACCGGGAGAUAGCUGGUUCUCCCCGAAAGCUAUUUAGGUAGCGCCUCGUGAAUUCAUCUCCGGGGGUAGAGCACUGUUUCGGCAAGGGGGUCAUCCCGACUUACCAACCCGAUGCAAACUGCGAAUACCGGAGAAUGUUAUCACGGGAGACACACGGCGGGUGCUAACGUCCGUCGUGAAGAGGGAAACAACCCAGACCGCCAGCUAAGGUCCCAAAGUCAUGGUUAAGUGGGAAACGAUGUGGGAAGGCCCAGACAGCCAGGAUGUUGGCUUAGAAGCAGCCAUCAUUUAAAGAAAGCGUAAUAGCUCACUGGUCGAGUCGGCCUGCGCGGAAGAUGUAACGGGGCUAAACCAUGCACCGAAGCUGCGGCAGCGACACUAUGUGUUGUUGGGUAGGGGAGCGUUCUGUAAGCCUGUGAAGGUGGCCUGUGAGGG
rnacentral:rRNA from 1 species